rnacentral:lncRNA from 1 species
ACACCGGAAGAAUAUUCCGCUAUUGGCACAACGAAAGCUGAGGAAUAGCCUGCAUGGCGCAGUCAUUUCAACUCAUGGGAUGUCCUGCUCUAUUAUGUUAUGAGACAGGAGGGUAUUCAUAGACUUCCUCAAGCAAGUACUGUAUCAGGAUGGGGGGAAGUGAAUCUCUCCCACUGAGGCCCUUCACCAUCCAUUCAUCACCAUGUCCCACCUGAUCCAGGAUCCAGACAGCAGUGACUAUCUAACCAAGUCACAGAGAUUGAUGUCAAUGAAGUGUACCAAUGAGGACAUUGACGAGGAACAUAAGGUUCAGCUGUCUCCUGGCCAGCUUCUUUCUGCAAAUAGCUGGCAAUCUGUUGAGGUGCAUGUACAUGAAGAGACAUUUGUCGAGUUCCUGCUGACUCCUGCAUCAAAUCAAACACAUAGAGACAAAUGUCCCUAAGCUCCAUCUUUCUCAUCUGAACAAUGACAAUGGAUGCGUUAAGGAGCCAUGUCUGGAUUGGGGAGAAGAGCUCCAUCUUCAUUCGACAGUGGAUGAUUCAUUCACCCUUCCUCAUUGUUGUGAUGUAAAUCUGGAAUCAGUUUCCACAGUAAAUGGACCUGUGGUGGAAGACGUCCCCCAUCCCCACUCCUAAGAGGUUUUGGAACGUUUGGAAGUUUUUCCAAAAUUAAAAAAGGCUGCUUCUCUCCCUCCGUGCAGGAGUGAAUUCUCUGUAUAUUCUAUCUAUUCACCCUCCUGUACACUCAAGUCCUCCUCUGCCUCUCUUCUCUCCAUUUCUCUUGCUCUCCUAUCCAAUCCAACCUGGGACUACUGUCAUCCAGUCUCUCUUUGUAUUUGUAAAUAAACACAAUUCAU